rnacentral:rRNA from 1 species
AGAGUUUGAUCCUGGCUCAGAACGUACGCUGGCGGCACGCCUAACACAUGCAAGUCGAACGAAGUAGCAAUACUUAGUGGCAGACGGGUGAGUAACAUGUGGGUAUCUACCCUUUGGCCUGGAAUAACACGAGGAAACUUGUGCUAAUACCGGAUAAGUCUUUACGGAGAAAGCUUUAUGCACCAUUGGAUGAGCCCGCACUUGAUUAGUUUGUUGGUGGGGUAAUGGCCUACCAAGACUGUGAUCAAUAGCUGAUUUGAGAGGAUGAUCAGCCACAUUGGGACUGAGACACGGCCCAAACUCCUACGGGAGGCAGCAGUGGGGAAUCUUGCACAAUGGAGGAAACUCUGAUGCAGCGAUGCCGCGUGAGUGAAGAAGGCCCUUGGGUUGUAAAGCUCUUUCGUCGGGGAAGAAAAUGACUGUACCCGAAUAAGAAGGUCCGGCUAACUUCGUGCCAGCAGCCGCGGUAAUACGAAGGGACCUAGCGUAGUUCGGAAUUACUGGGCUUAAAGAGUUCGUAGGUGGUUGAAAAAGUUGGUGGUGAAAUCCCAGAGCUUAACUCUGGAACUGCCAUCAAAACUUUUCAGCUAGAGUUUGAUAGAGGAAAGCAGAAUUUCUAGUGUAGAGGUGAAAUUCGUAGAUAUUAGAAAGAAUACCAAUUGCGAAGGCAGCUUUCUGGAUCAUUACUGACACUGAGGAACGAAAGCAUGGGUAGCGA